GACGAACGCUGGCGGCGUGCUUAACACAUGCAAGUCGAACGGAAAGGCCCUGCUCUUGUGGGUUGCUCGAGUGGCGAACGCGUGAGUAACACGGGAGUAACCUGCCCUUGACUUUCGGAUAACUUCAGGACACUCCGGCUAAUACCGGAGAGGAGCUCUUGCUGCAUGGUGGGGCUUGGUAAGUUUCGGCUGUUGGGGAUGGACUCGCGGCUUAUCCGCUUGUUGGUGUGGUAGUGGCUUACCAAGGCUUUGACGGGUAGCCGGCCUGAGAGGGUGACCGGACACAUUGGGACUGAGAUACGGCCCAGACUCCUACGGGAGGCAACAGUGGGGAAUAUUGCACAAUGGGCGGAAGCCUGAUGCAGCAACGCCGCGUGCGGGAUGACGGCCUUCGGGUUGUAAACCGCUUUCGCCUGUGACGAAGCGUGAGUGACGGUAAUGGGUAAAGAAGCACCGGCUAACUACGUG
rnacentral:rRNA from 1 species